AAAUUGAAGAGUUUGAUCAUGGCUCAGAUUGAACGCUGGCGGCAGGCCUAACACAUGCAAGUCGAACGGUAACAGGAAACAGCUUGCUGUUUCGCUGACGAGUGGCGGACGGGUGAGUAAUGUCUGGGAAACUGCCUGAUGGAGGGGGAUAACUACUGGAAACGGUAGCUAAUACCGCAUAACGUCGCAAGACCAAAGAGGGGGACCUUCGGGCCUCUUGCCAUCGGAUGUGCCCAGAUGGGAUUAGCUUGUUGGUGGGGUAACGGCUCAC
rnacentral:rRNA from 1 species